rnacentral:rRNA from 1 species
CGCGUAGGCGGUCAGCACAAGUCAGUUGUGAAAUCUCCGGGCUUAACUCGGAAAGGUCAACUGAUACUGUGCGACUAGAGUGCGGAAGGGGCAACUGGAAUUCUCGGUGUAGCGGUGAAAUGCGUAGAUAUCGAGAGGAACACCUGUGGCGAAGGCGGGUUGCUGGGCCGACACUGACGCUGAGGCGCGAAAGCCAGGGGAGCGAACG